rnacentral:rRNA from 1 species
UACGGAAGGCAGCAGUGGGGAAUAUUGGACAAUGGGCGCAAGCCUGAUCCAGCCAUACCGCGUGGGUGAAGAAGGCCUUCGGGUUGUAAAGCCCUUUUGUUGGGAAAGAAAUCCAGCUGGUUAAUACCCGGUUGGGAUGACGGUACCCAAAGAAUAAGCACCGGCUAACUUCGUGCCAGCAGCCGCGGUAAUACGAAGGGUGCAAGCGUUACUCGGAAUUACUGGGCGUAAAGCGUGCGUAGGUGGUCGUUUUAAGUCCGUUGUGAAAGCCCUGGGCUCAACCUGGGAACUGCAGUGGAUACUGGGCGACUGAAAUGUGGUAGAGGGUAGCGGAAUUCCUGGUGUAGCAGUGAAAUGCGUAGAGAUCAGGAGGAACAUCCAUGGCGAAGGCAGCUACCUGGACCAACAUUGACACUGAGGCACGAAAGCUGGGGAGCAAACAGGGAUUAGAUACC